GACGAACGCUGGCGGCGUGCUUAACACAUGCAAGUCGAACGGAAAGGCCCUGCUUUUGUGGGGUGCUCGAGUGGCGAACGGGUGAGUAACACGUGAGUAUCCUGCACUUGACUUUGUGAUAACUUCAGGAAACUGGGGCUCUUACCGGAUAUGAGCUCCUGCAGCAUGGUGGUGAUUGGAAAGUUUCGGCGGUUGGGGAUGGACUCGCGGCUUAUCAGCUUGUUGGUGUGGUAGUGGCUUACCAAGGCUUUGACGGGUAGCCGGCCUGAGAGGGUGACCGGCGACAUUGGGACUGAGAUACGGCCCAGACUCCUACGUGAGGCAGCAGUGGGGAGUAUUGCACAAUGGGCGGAAGCCUGAUGCAGCAACGCCGCGUGCGGGAUGUUGGCCUUCGGGGUGUAAACCGCUUUCGCCGGUGACGAAGCGUGAGUGACGGUAAUGGGUAAAGAAGCACCGGCUAACUACGUG
rnacentral:rRNA from 1 species